UCUUGGAUGACAUGGGGGUGAGUAAAUUAUCAGCAAAAGUUUUUUCAAAAGUGAACUAAUCCUUUAACAACAGUCAUGUGCAGGAUAUGUGCAACAUCACUUUGAACGUUUAAUGGGGAAUUGUUAUAAUGUCUAUUUUGUUUUACGCCAAAAUCUGUGUGCAAGUGUUGGUUCGUACUUAAAUAAGGCUGACUAGCACUUUAUGAUGUUAGUAAUUUUUGUUUACAUGCUAAUGUUGAGUAAACAUCCUGAGAAACUUACUUAUGAGGACAUGGUUACAAAAAACUUUAAUGCAAUAACAAUGCUAAUAUAACUUUAUGGAGUUUAUUUGGGUCAAAGCCAAUAUUGGAAGUAUCUGAAUCAUUGUCCUUGAAAAUGUUCUCAGUGGCAGCAAUUAUUUUUCUUUGUUGCUUUAUUGAGGGACUCUUUUUUCUCACAUAUCUAUUCAACUAAAGUGGGCCAAAUGAUGGAAAUACUUUUGUGUUUUUUAUGCAGGUUUUAGAUCACCUACUCACUUUCCAUGUAUAAAAACAGAGGUCCUGGUCAUUGUAAUGUGGGUUCUGCAACCAUUGGAGACAAUGCACCACCUUGUUUACGUACUCAGUGAACAUGCUGUCUCAUAAGGAUUGAUAUGUUGAACUUUUGAAAUAACAGACAGAGACACAAAUUAUAUUGUUUACCUGUAUUACACCUCUUCUGUAAGACAUGGCAUAGCAAGAAAUAAACUCAUGCAAUAACACUGA